rnacentral:lncRNA from 1 species
CUAAAUCUAUUUAUCCAGUGAAGUUGCUUAUCUUUACAACCUGUACUACAACAAUUAAGAUGAAUAUAAAUAGCUAUUGUAGGUAAAUUUUAUCUAAGGAGUAAAGCCAUACCUACUCGUGUUGUAUCAUUCACUUUUCUCUCUACAUAUGCCCGAGGGCACACAAUGUGUGGCCACGGUAGUGAAGCUAGCCAGCAAAGGAUCCAAAUAUUGUUUUCUAGUUUUGUGUUGAAUUUUGCAUCCCCCUCACCAAAGUAUCACAUCUCUAAGAAAAAAAAAGCAACUCCGGAAUAUGACAAUACCUUCGGAAUGAGCGGCAUUGGGAAACAAAUUCAACCUGCCUAGCUUUGUUGAACUAUGAGAGUUUCUUGUCAACAUAAAUUUGACGAGUUUGAGGUGUUUCAUCGAUCUUCCCAAUUGUAUCUACCUUCGUUUGCACCGAUGAGGUCCACAUGCACGCCCUGCUCCAUCUAGUACUUUUGUUGGAGAGACCUUUUUUGUGCGACAAGAAGAACCAUGUUGAGCUUGCUGUGAUGACUCCUUACUCACCAAGUGCCUUGCGUGCAAGGCCGGGCUGGCAAUAUCCGGAGCCCUGCGUGAAACUAAAAAAUGAGGCAUUAUCUUAUUAGAAAAAUGAAUAACGAAAAAUUAUAAUGUAUAUAUAUUUUGUAGAUUAUUUUAUAAUGCAUAUGAUAUAAUGUUUCCAAUCGAGGAGCAGCCUCAGGACUGUCGCUGAAUCUUCAAUCGAUCCUCUUGUACAUUGUAGUGAGUAGCGACGGUGUCGCGAUUGCUGUUUUGUGAUUGAUCUAACUACAUAUAUAUGUUACAUGGUACAUGGGGAUACGGAUACGGUAAUACAAAAAAUAAACUUCAUUUUUCAAAAAUGGGCUUG